GGAGUUGUGGCUCAGUGACAGAGUGCUUGCUUAGCAUGUAUGAGGCACUGGGUUUGAGUCUCAGCACUGCA
rnacentral:tRNA from 1 species